GGGAAGAUGGCUCAGUGGUAGAGUGCUUGCCUAGCAUGCAUGAGGCCCUGUGUUUUUUUUCUCA
rnacentral:tRNA from 1 species